rnacentral:rRNA from 1 species
GUGUCAGCAGCCGCGCGGUAAUACGGGAGUGGCAAGCGUUAUCCGGAAUUAUUGGGCGUAAAGCGUCCGCAGGCGGCUUAUCAAGUCUGCUGUUAAAACGUGGAGCUUAACUCCAUCAUGGCAGUGGAAACUGAUAGGCUUGAGUAUGGUAGGGGCAGAGGGAAUUCCCGGUGUAGCGGUGAAAUGCGUAGAUAUCGGGAAGAACACCAGUGGCGAAGGCGCUCUGCUGGGCCAUUACUGACGCUCAUGGACGAAAGCCAGGGGAGCGAAAGGGAUUAGAUACCCCUGUAGUCCUGGCCGUAAACGAUGAACACUAGGUGUCGGGGGAAUCGACCCCUUCGGUGUCGUAGCUAACGCGUUAAGUGUUCCGCCUGGGGAGUACGCACGCAAGUGUGAAACUCAAAGGAAUUGACGGGGGCCCGCACAAGCGGUGGAGUAUGUGGUUUAAUUCGAUGCAACGCGAAGAACCUUACCAGGGUUUGACAUCCUGCGAAUCUCUUGGAAACGAGAGAGUGCCUUCGGGAGCGCAGUGACAGGUGGUGCAUGGCUGUCGUCAGCUCGUGUCGUGAGAUGUUGGGUUAAGUCCCGCAACGAGCGCAACCCACGUCUUUAGUUGCCAGCAUUCAGUUGGGCACUCUAGAGAGACCGCCGGUGAUAAACCGGAGGAAGGUGUGGAUGACGUCAAGUCAUCAUGCCCCUUACAUCCUGGGCUACACACGCACUACAAUGCUACGGACAAAGGGCAGCAAGUUCGCGAGGACAAGCAAAUCCCAUAAACCGUGGCUCAGUUCAGAUCGUAGGCUGCAACUCGCCUACGUGAAGGAGGAAUCGCUAGUAAUCGCAGGUCAGCAUACUGCGGUGAAUACGUUCCCGGGCCUUGUACACACCGCCCGUCAAAUCCAUAUG